UUUAGACACGUUUAAUAUCCCAGUCCAUGAAUAGGUCACACGGAGAACACAUAUACUAUACAAGUUAAAUAAUGCACAGUUUGACAUUACACAUGUUGUAGAGGACUAUGAAAAGCAAGUAGUCCCGGCAAGAGUUAUCUUUUGACUUCUCUUAUAUUGAGUUAUCUCUCUUUGGAUAUUGUUUCGUUAUGAACCGCCAUAUAUUUUGGUUACACGUUUUUCUGACCUCGUGUUCAAUAUCGCAAAUUGUGGCCCAUCACAGUCUUUUUACCAUCAACAUCAUUGUGUUAUCAUAAUAAAUUCAACUGAAACACUU